GACGAACGCUGGCGGCGUGCUUAACACAUGCAAGUCGAACGGAAAGGCCCUGCUUGCAGGGUACUCGAGUGGCGAACGGGUGAGUAACACGUGGGUGAUCUGCCCUACACUUCGGGAUAAGCCUGGGAAACUGGGUCUAAUACCGGAUAGGAGCCAUUUUUAGUGUGAUGGUUGGAAAGUUUUUUCGGUGUAGGAUGAGCUCGCGGCCUAUCAGCUUGUUGGUGGGGUAAUGGCCUACCAAGGCGGCGACGGGUAGCCGGCCUGAGAGGGUGGACGGCCAUAUUGGGACUGAGAUACGGCCCAGACGCCUACUGGAGGCAGCAGUGGGGAAUAUUGCACAAUGGGCGCCAGCCUGAUGCAGCGACGCCGCGUGGGGGAUGACGGCCUUCGGGUUGUAAACUCCUUUCGCUAGGGACGAAGCUUUUUGUGACGGUACCUAGAUAAGAAGCACCGGCUAACUACGUG
rnacentral:rRNA from 1 species